CAAAUGACUCUCGGCAAUGGAUAUCUUGGCUCUUGCAUCGAUGAAGAACGUAGUGAAAUGCGAUACUUGGUGUGAAUUGCAGAAUCUCGUGAACCAUUGAGUCUUUGAACGCAAGUUGUGCCCGAGGCCUUGCGGUCGAAGGCACGCCUGCUUGGGCGUCAUU
rnacentral:rRNA from 1 species